CACGUGUACAACCUUGCCACUCCUCCACAGGUGGUGAGUUCAGGAGGAAUGGCUAUGUAUCAUUUUGUACUACUGAAUGCAAAAGUUCUUUAUAAAUUCCUUUUGAAUGGUUUCAAAACUCUCUGGGCUCUUUUCUACUUCUUGGACUCGCAGGAGGUGACCAGGCUGGUUGGUGAACAGGGAAACAUGUCUGGGUGCUGUUGCCACGGUUGUUGAACACUCAGCAUGCAUGGAGGUGAUGUUGCAGACCCGGAGCAUUCAGCCAUAUUCGGCCAUGCCAGUAAAGAGCAGCAGCUGCCUCCUUUGUGUCCUGUUUUCUCCCCACAGGGGCUCCACAUUCUCUCUCUGCCUGCUCUGAUGUCAGGAGGUUUGUGAGUGCUGCGUUACUAUUUCUGAAUCCAUCGCAUCAACUCCCUCUAUCACCACCACCACCCGUGGACACAAUUCCUCUUGGAGCAUCAUAGGCCUCAAAACUGAGAAGCUGCUGUAAAACCUGCAGCAAAACUCCGGGUCACAUCUGCUAAAUAACCCAGCAGCACGGAUGGAGCACUGGGUGCAACAGCAGAAUCUAUUUCCAAUUGAUCCUUAUCAGCCCUGUGUGCAAGAAGGGAGUGCACCGCACCAUGUGUGCGUCAAGCAAUGUCAUCAGGCUGCAGUGGGGAUGGAAUGUCCAGCUCCAGGUGAGCUGUGAGAAACAGAACCUCUCCCGGUGUCUUUAGGCAGCUCUGCAGUGCUGAGCUGGAGACUGGAACAGCAUGGGCCCCAGGGCUGGCAGCUGGCACCGAGCUGCUGGCUCCAGUGGGCACUGCUUGGGGAUCGUGUUUUUAAAGCACACGCUGGAAACAUGGGAGAAGUGCAGCCGCUGUGUUUUUUCACUCAGACACAUAUGCCCAAGGGAACCUUUACUUGCAUGACUGCAUGGCUUCGAACAACAUUGCUUUUCUCAUCUGCACGUGUACAACAGACACAGUGCCUGCAGGCAGGGGCGUCCCUAAGAAACAGCAAAAAGCUGAAGUCAUGUCUAAACAAGGAAAGGACUCGUAACUUUGGACAUGCCAGGAAGUACACUGAGAAACAAAG
rnacentral:lncRNA from 1 species